rnacentral:rRNA from 1 species
UGCGCAGGCGGUUAUGUAAGACAGAGGUGAAAUCCCCGAGCUUAACUUGGGAAUUGCAUUCGAUACUGGUUGGCUAGAGUGUGGGAGAGGAUGGUAGAAUUCCAGGUGUAGCGGUGAAAUGCGUAGAGAUCUGGAGGAAUACCGAUGGCGAAGGCAGCCAUCUGGCCUAACACUGACGCUGAGGUGCGAAAGCAUGGGGAGCAAACAGGAUUAGAUACCCGUGG